GUGCUCACUUCAGCAUACAUAUACUGAAAUUGGAACAAAACAGAGAUCAGCAUGGCACCUGAACAAGGAUAACACACAGAUUCAUAAAGUAGUUCACAAUGAG